UGAACGUCGCGGGGUUAUCAGCGCGGAUCUGUCAGCAGCGAGGCGCGCGGCUGCGGGUUCGUCCGCGGCAGGAGUAGUGAUAUAUGUCUCCGCUCCCUUUCGCUCACAAAAAGAUUUCUUCCGACAGACGCGACCCCAGAAGGCCGCGGAGAGAGAAUUUUAACUAGGGCAGCAGGAGUUGCUUUGUGGGGAUGGAUUUUACAUUUUUCUCCCAGCCUGUUAUCUAGGCCACCCAUGACCGACGAAAGAUCUUCCCUCCCGGCUUCUCCCACGGCCGCUUUAAACCAAAUAAAUUUAGCUAUUAAGGGCCAAGAUGUCUGACAAAAGAUCGAAAGGUGUCUAUCCGUGAUCGCUUAAAGCAGCGAAGGAGAAACUUGUGGCUCUCUGAUCCCGAUAAAGACAUUCCACACGGCGCCGGCCUCCCUCCCCGCGGCCUGGUUGCGUCCUGACGCCUUGAGAUCUCCGCUUCGCUGGCCAGAUCUCCCCGGGCCCGGCGAGACCUGCGUCCGUCGCCCUGGGAAUGCGGAGGUCCCCAGGCGGCCGGGCUUGGGGGUGCCAGGCCCCACGGUCCCGGGAGCCGUGGAAAUUCAGGCCUGACCCGGCUGGGCUCCGAAAACAGACCCCCUGCACUUGGCAGAAAAACUAAACCGAGCUCAUUAGGACCUGAAUUACUAUCCCUUUGGAUUAUUUUCUGAUGCUGAAUACUACUGUAGGCCAUCCACCCCUGCCUUCCCCCCCUCAACAAACCCUGCGGGUUUGCCGAGGGUCCGAGUUACUUCACAUGACUGGGCGUUGGGAGCACUCCCUUUGAACCCCGGUCAGAACCUGGUGGGUGGAACUUGGCAGCUAAAUUAGACUGAGGCUAAUGGGGAGGGUGUGGACUCCCAGAGUAAGAGCGCGCAGGUGGGAGGCAGAGGUCCGGCCAUUCAAUCAUCCCCAGGUUGGGUUUGGUUAUGAAGUGUGGUAUUUAUUGUCAUUAUUAAUUACUACUGGCAUCACUACACAAAGCUGAGGGCUGCCAGCUUGGCUGAGGCCCUGCCCCUGCGGGGAUCCCUUCCCUUUCACUAAAGGUGAAGCAGGGAAUAUCCACUUUGCUGAUCCAGGACUGGAAAGUGGUCUUGGGAGCCAGGGGCUAUGUUUUGGGAGUUUGUGCACUGAAUCAUUUCUUUUCCUCUUUGGUAGCAUUCCCCUAUAACUCUUAAACACACAUGGAAGCCUUUCCUACCUCUUUGUAGUAUGUGUGGGUAAGAACCUCAGGGUGGUAGAUCAGAGACUGUACUGACUUCCCUGCCGGGGAGAUUCUCCCCAUAUCUUCUGCCAUCCCCUAGUGCUUUAUGGUGAAGUUGGAGACAGGAGUCAGAAUUCCAAAGGCAAACCAACUUCAGUUUCUGUCACCUCGGUCUGGGCCCCAGAAGUGAAAUCUGCCUCUCUUUUCUCAUUGCCCUGCUCCAAAUAAGGUGAACUCCAAAACCAGCCGUCUUAUCUAAUCCUUCGACCACCACCCCCACCCCAGCCUCCUGGGAUAGGAAAACUCAGAGCAUCGGAAGGAAAAAGACCAUUUCUACUCCCCAAAAGGGGAACGAGAUACAGAAAUUUCCAACACACUAGACAGGCCCCAGGCUUUCCUUGGAGUUUGCUGGUAUCACUAGAUGGGCAGACAAUGCCAAUUCCAGGGUCAGAGUCCAGAUGCCACUUCCCCAGAGCUGUCUCAGCUCAGAGACCUGGUUUUUCUUUUCUUAGGGGGUGUGGGGGGUGCAUUGGUUAGGUGUUGCUAAGGAGAAGCGGAAAAGGAGGUUUUUGGAUGUUUGCUAAGUAGGUAAUGUUCAAGUCAAUUAAAGGGGGGAGUGCCCCCAAAUAAAAAAAAAUAACUGCAUUUGCCCCCCA
rnacentral:lncRNA from 1 species